rnacentral:rRNA from 1 species
GACGAACGCUGGCGGCGUGCUUAACACAUGCAAGUCGAACGGAAAGGCCCCUUUGGGGGUCCUCGAGUGGCGAACGGGUGCGUAGCACGUGAGUAACCUGCCCUUGACUUCGGGAUAACUUCAGGAAACUGGGGCUAAUACCGGAUAGGAAUCCUUGCUGCAUGGUGGGGGUUGGAAAGCUUCGGCGGUUUUGGAUGGACUCGCGGCUUAUCAGCUUGUUGGUGGGGUAGUGGCUUACCAAGGCUUUGACGGGUAGCCGGCCUGAGAGGGCGACCGGCCACAUUGGGACUGAGAUACGGCCCAGACUCCUACGGGAGGCAGCAGUGGGGAAUAUUGCACAAUGGGCGGAAGCCUGAUGCAGCAACGCCGCGUGCGGGAUGACGGCCUUCGGGUUGUAAACCGCUUUCAGCAGGGGCGAAGCUUGUGGUGACGGUACCUGCAGAAGAAGCACCGGCUAACUACGUG